rnacentral:rRNA from 1 species
UGUACCUCAUGAAUAAGGUUCUGCAAACUACGUGCCAGAAGCAUCGGUGAUACGUAGGAACCAAACAUUAUCCGGAUUUACUGGGCGUAAAGAGAUGCGUAGGCGUCUUGGUAAGUUCUAUGUUAAAUCUUCGGGCCUAACCCGGAAACCGCAUGGAAAACUACCUUGAUUGAGUCAGCUAGAGGAAGACGGAAUUCCCGGUGUAGCAGUGAAAUGCGUUGAUAUCGGGAAGAACACCAAUGGCGAAGGCAGUCUUCUGGGGCUUGACUGACGCUAAGGCUCGAAAGCGUGGGGAGCAAAACGGAUUAGAUACCCGUGUAGUCCACGCCCUAAACUAUCUCCGCUAAUUGUCGGGACUGGCUUAGUUCUUUCUUCGGAAAGGAUUGAGCAGUUUCGGUGAUGUAGUUAACGCGUUAAGCGGAGCGCCUGGGGAGUACGGCCGCAAGGCUAAAACUCAAAGGAAUUGACGGGGACCCGCACAAGCGGUGGAGCGCUUGGUUUAAUUCGAUGCUAAGCGAAGAACCUUACCAGGGCUUGAACUAUAGCUGCAUCUUUGGUGAAAGCCAGAGAGCCUUCGAGGGUGCUAUAGAGGUGCUGCAUGGCUGUCGUCAGCUCGUGUCGUGAGAUGUAGGGUUAAGUCCCGCAACGAGCGCAACCCCUAUUCGCUGUUAAAAUUUCUGCGAAAACUGCCUCGCCAAAACGAGGAGGAAGGUGGGGAUGACGUCUAGUCCUCAUAGCCCUUAUGUCCUGGGCUACACAAGCGCUACAAUGGGUGGUACAAAGGGUUGCCAAACCGCAAGGUGGAGCUAAUCCCAAAAAACCAUCCUCAGUUCAGAUUGUCGGCUGCAAUUCGCCGGCAUGAAGUCGGAAUUGCUAGUAAUCGCGGAUCAGCAUGCCGCGGUGAAUACGUUCUCGGGUCUUGUACACACCGCCCGU